GGGGGUGAAGCUAAGAGGUAGAGCACUUGCCUAGCGUGUGUGAGGCUCUGGGUUCAAUUCCCAGCACACUGC
rfam:Ictidomys tridecemlineatus contig066596, whole genome shotgun sequence.